rnacentral:rRNA from 1 species
CCUACGGGAGGCAGCAGUGAGGAAUAUUGGUCAAUGGCCGCAGGGCUGAACCAGCCAAGUCGCGUGAGGGAUGACGGUCCUAUGGAUUGUAAACCUCUUUUGUCAGGGAGCAAAGGGCGCCACGUGUGGCGUUUUGCGAGUACCUGAAGAAAAAGCAUCGGCUAACUCCGUGCCAGCAGCCGCGGUAAUACGGAGGAUGCGAGCGUUAUCCGGAUUUAUUGGGUUUAAAGGGUGCGCAGGCGGAAUGUAAAGUCAGCGGUAAAAUUUCGGGGCUCAACCCCGUCGUGCCGUUGAAACUGGCGGUCUUGAGUGAGCGAGAAGUAUGCGGAAUGCGUGGUGUAGCGGUGAAAUGCAUAGAUAUCACGAAGAACUCCGAUUGCGAAGGCAGCAUACCGGCGCUCAACUGACGCUGAUGCACGAAAGCGUGGGUAUCGAACAGGAUUAGAUACCCCAGUAGUC